GACGAACGCUGGCGGCGUGCCUAAUACAUGCAAGUCGAACGCAGGGGGGACGGGUGAGAAACACGUGGGUAACCUCCCAUCAGAGGGGAUAACACUUGGAAACAGGUGCUAAACCGAUACUGAUGGAUGGACCCGGGGUGCAUUAGCUGGUUGGUGAGGUAACGGCUACCCAGGGCCACGAUGCAUAGCCGACCUGAGAGGGUGAUCGGCCACACUGGGACUGAGACACGGCCCAGCCUCCUACGAGAGGCAGAAGUAGGGAAUCUUCGGCAAUGGACGAAAGGCUGACCGAGCAACGCCGCGUGAGUGAAGAAGGUGUUGGGAUCGUAAAACUCUGUUGUUAGAGAAGCGGUAUCUAACCAGAAAGCCACGGCUAACUACGUGCCAGCAGCCGCGGUAAUUC
rnacentral:rRNA from 1 species